rnacentral:tRNA from 2 species
GGGUUGUUAGCUCAGUUGGUAGAGCAGGUGACUCUUAAUCACCGGGUCAGGGGUUCAAAUCCCUUACAACCCA